GUAAUAUAAGAUACGUUCUCUAAGCUUUUAACUAAAAAAGCUAACAUGCGUCUCUCAAAUAAGAGAUAUAACAGACGUCUCUUAGUUUUUUUAGUUAAAACUUAAGAGACCGUAUCUUAUAUUAC
rfam:Brassica napus, WGS project CCCW01000000 data, contig: 15150